rnacentral:rRNA from 1 species
UACGUAGGGUGCAAGCGUUGUCCGGAAUCAUUGGGCGUAAAGCGCGCGUAGGUGGCUUCGUAAGUCCGUUGUGAAAGUCGGGGGCUCAACCCUCGAAUGCCGGUGGAUACUGUCGGGCUAGAGUGCGGAAGAGGCGAGUGGAAUUCCUGGUGUAGCGGUGAAAUGCGCAGAUAUCAGGAGGAACACCUAUUGCGAAGGCAGCUCGCUGGGACGUUACUGACGCUGAGACGCGAAAGCGUGGGGAGCAAACAGG